rnacentral:rRNA from 1 species
UACGGGGGGGGGCAAGCGUUUGUUCGGAAUUACUGGGCGUAAAGGGCUCGUAGGCGCCAACUAAGUCAGACGUGAAAUCCCCAGGCUCAACCUGGGAACUGCGUCUGAUACUGGUUGGCUUGAAUCCGGGAGAGGGAUGCAGAAUUCCAGGUGUAGCGGUGAAAUGCGUAGAUAUCCGGAGGAACACCGGUGGCGAAGGCGGCUUCCUGGACCGACACUGACGCUGAGGCGCGAAAGCUAGGGGAGCAAACGGG